rnacentral:rRNA from 1 species
UCAAGCUACUAAGGGCAUACGGUGGAUGCCUAGGCGCCAAGAGCCGAAGAAGGACGCGGUAAGCUGCGAAAAGCCACGGGGAACUGCAAGCAAGUAUUGAUCCGUGGAUAUCCGAAUGGGGAAACCCGGCCAUCGUCAUGGAUGGUCACCCGCAAGGGAGGGAACCUGGGGAACUGAAACAUCUAAGUACCCGGAGGAAGAGAAAUCAAACGAGAUGCCCACAGUAGCGGCGAGCGAAGAGGGCAGAGCCCAAACCGAGAAGCUCCGGCUUUUCGGGGUUGAGGACCGGCAGAAUCGAAGUCAGGCCUAGUUGAAUUACCUGGAAAGGUAAGCGAGAGAGGGUAAAAGCCCCGUAGACGAAAGGCAGAGCAGAGAGGCCGAGAUCCAGAGUACCACGAAGCACGAGGAAUUUUGUGGGAAGCAGGGGGGACCACCCUCCAAGCCAAAAUACUGAUAUCGACCGAUAGCGCAUAGUACCGUGAGGGAAAGGUGAAAAGAACCCCUGGCGGGGAGUGAAAGAGAACCUGAAACCGUAUGUCUACAAACAGUCGAAGUCUGUAUAUAUAUCAGGACGACGGCGUGCCUAUUGAAGAAUGAACCGACGAGUUACUGUUGCUAGCGAGGUUAAGUGGAAAACAUGGAGCCGCAGCGAAAGCGAGUCUGAACAGGGCGUUCAGUUAGUAAUAGUAGACCCGAAACCGUAGUGAUCUAUCCAUGGCCAGGUUGAAGCACAGGUAAAAUUGUGUGGAGGACCGAACUCGUGAGCGUUGAAAAGCUUUGGGAUGAGUUGUGGAUAGGGGUGAAAUGCCAAUCGAACACGGAGAUAGCUGGUUCUCCCCGAAAUAGCUUUAGGGCUAGCGUUAGUUUAGAUUACCGGAGGUAAAGCACUGAAUGGUUUAGGGGCUGAUAAAGUUACCGACGCCUAUCAAACUCUGAAUGCCGGAUAAUUGAUGACUAGCAGUCAGACAGUGUGAGAUAAGUUUCAUUGUCAAAAGGGAAACAGCCCAGACCUACAGCUAAGGUCCCAAAUGUAUGCUAAGUGGAAAACGAUGUGGAGUUGCGAAAACAACCAGGAUGUUGGCUUAGAAGCAGCCACCAUUUAAAAAAUGCGUAAUAGCUUACUCAUCGAGUGAUCCUGCGCCGAAAAUGAUUGGCGAUCAAGCGUUAUACCGAAGCUCUGGACUUUGCCGCAAGGCAGAGUGGUAGAAGAGCGUUGCAUGCGCGUCGAAGGGCGAUGGCGACUGACCCUGGAGCACAUGCAAGUGAGUAUGCAGACAUGAGUAACGUUAAGCCGGGUGAAAUCCCCGGCCGCCGUAAACCCGAGGUUUCCAGGGCAACGUGUUUCGUCCCUGGGUUAGCCGGGACCUAAGCCGAGGCCGAGAGGCGUAGGCGAUGGACAUCAGGUUAAUAAUCCUGAGCUCGCAACCCUUAAACUGGGGGGACGCAUGAGAAAAGAUGACUAGGUUAUUGAAUUCCGAGUUGAGUCCACGGACUCAGCGCAUCAUUGGAUCGAGUGCCAAGAAAAGCCCCAGCGUAUGCUAAGCGACCCGUACCGCAAACCGACACAGGUGGGUGGGUAGAAUAUACCAAGGCGUAAGAGUGAAACCUGGUUAAGGAACUCGGCAAAUUAGCCCCGUAACUUCGGAAGAAGGGGUGCCUGCAGCGAUGCAGGCCGCAGAGAAAUGGCCCAACCGACUGUUUAUCAAAAACACAGCACUCUGCAAAGACGCAAGUCGAAGUAUAGGGUGUGACACGUGACCAAUGCCGAAAGAUUAAGGCAAGGGGUUAGCCGCAAGGCGAAGCUCUAAACCCAAGUCCCGGUGAAUGUCGGCCGUAACUAUAACGGUCCUAAGGUAGCGAAAUUCCUUGUCGGGUAAGUUCCG